rnacentral:rRNA from 1 species
CCCUUAGAUGUUCGGGGCCGCACGCGCGCUACACUGAAGGAAUCAGCGCGUCUUUCUCCUUGUCCGAAAGGACUGGGUAACCCGCUGAACCUCCUUCGUGCUAGGGAUUGGGGCUUGUAAUUCUUCCCCAUGAACGAGGAAUUCCCAGUAAGCGCGAGUCAUAAGCUCGCGUUGAUUACGUCCCUGCCCUUUGUACACACCGCCCGUCGCUACUACCGAUUGGAUGGUUUAGUGAGAUCCUCGGAUUGGUCCCGGCGCGGCCUCUGGUCGUGCCGGAGUGCCGAAAAGAAUGUCGAACUUGAUCAUCUAGAGGAAAUAAAAGUCGUAACA